rnacentral:rRNA from 1 species
CCUACGUGAGGCAGCAGUGAGGAAUAUUGGUCAAUGGACGAGAGUCUGAACCAGCCAAGUAGCGUGAAGGAUGACUGCCCUAUGGGUUGUAAACUUCUUUUAUAUGGGAAUAAAAUGUUCCACGUGUGGGAUUUUGUAUGUACCAUAUGAAUAAGGAUCGGCUAACUCCGUGCUAGCAGCCGCGGUAAUACGGAGGAUCCGAGCGUUAUCCGGAUUUAUUGGGUUUAAAGGGAGCGUAGGUGGAUUGUUAAGUCAGUUGUGAAAGUUUGCGGCUCAACCGUAAAAUUGCAGUUGAAACUGGCAGUCUUGAGUACAGUAGAGGUGUGCGGAAUUCGUGGUGUAGCGGUGAAAUGCUUAGAUAUCACGAAGAACUCCGAUUGCGAAGGCAGCUCACUGGACUGCAACUGACACUGAGGCUCGAAAGUGUGGGUAUCAAACAGGAUUAGAUACCCCUGUAGUC